rnacentral:rRNA from 1 species
UACGGAGGGUGCAAGCGUUAUCCGGAUUUACUGGGUUUAAAGGGUGCGUAGGUGGAUAAGUAAGUCAGUGGUGAAAUCUCCGGGCUUAACCCGGAAACUGCCAUUGAUACUAUUUGUCUUGAAUACUUUGGAGGUAAGCGGAAUAUGUCAUGUAGCGGUGAAAUGCUUAGAUAUGACAUAGAACACCCAUUGCGAAGGCAGCUUACUACGGAUAUAUUGACACUGAGGCUCGAAAGCGUGGGGAUCAAACAGG